AUUGAACGCUGGCGGCAGGCCUAACACAUGCAAGUCGAACGAGUGGCGGACGGGUGAGUAAUUUCUGGGAACCUGCCCGAUUGCGGGGUAUCACUACUGGAAACUGUCGCUAAUACCGCCUACCAUCGGAUGUGCCCCUAUGGGAUUAGCUAGUAGGUGGGGUAACGGCUCACCUAGGCGACGCGCCCUAGCUGGUCUGAGAGGAUGACCAGCCAAACUGGAACUGAGACACGGUCCAGACUCCUACGGGAGGCAGCAGUGGGGAAUAUUGCACAAUGGGCGCAAGCCUGAUGCAGCCAUGCCGCGUGUAUGAAGAAGGCCUUCGGGUUGUAAAGUACUUUCAGCGAGGAGGCGUUACUCGCAGAAGAAGCACCGGCUAACUCCGUGCCAGCAGCCGCGGUAAUUC
rnacentral:rRNA from 1 species